UUCGACUAGGGGGUCAUCCCGACUUACCAACUCGAUGCAAACUACGAAUACCGAAGAAUGUUAUCACGGGAGACACACGGCGGGUGCUAACGUUCGUCGUGAAGAGGGAAACAACCCAGACCGCCAGCUAAGGUCCCAAAGUCAUAGUUAAGUGGGAAACGAAGUGGGAAGGCUCAGACAGCCAGGAUGUUGGCUUAGAAGCAGCCAUCAUUUAAAGAAAGCGUAAUAGCUCACUGGUCGAGUCGGCCUGCGCGGAAGAUGUAACGGGGCUAAACUAUGCACCGAAGCUGCGGCAGCGAUAUKUARAUAUUGUUGGGUAGGGGAGCGUUCUGUAAGCCUGUGAAGGUGUGCUGUGAGGCAUGCUGGAGGUAUCAGAAGUGCGAAUGCUGACAUAAGUAACGAUAAUGCGGGUGAAAAACCCGCACGCCGGAAGACCAAGGGUUCCUGUCCAACGUUAAUCGGGGCAGGGUGAGUCGACCCCUAAGGCGAGGCAGAAAUGCGUAGUCGAUGGGAAACGGGUUAAUAUUCCCGUACUGGUGAUAAUUGCGAUGGGGGGACGGAGAAGGCUAGGCUAUCCGGGCGACGGUUGUCCCGGUUUAAGGAUGUAGGC
rnacentral:rRNA from 1 species